ACGCUCGACACCUACUGGAGGCAGCAGUGGGGAAUAUUGCACAAUGGGGGAAACCCUGAUGCAGCAACGCCGCGUGAAGGAAGACGGUUUUCGGAUUGUAAACUUCUGUUCUUAGUGAAGAUAGUGACGGUAGCUAAGGAGCAAGCCACGGCUAACUACGUGCCAGCAGCCGACGGUAAUCUGAGCGGGCUGGCAAGGC
rnacentral:rRNA from 1 species